AUGAACGCUGGCGGCGUGCCUAAUCCAUGCAAGUCGAGCGAACGGACGAGAAGCUUGCUUUUCUGAUGUUAGCGGCGGACGGGUGGGUAACACGUGGAUAACCUACCUAUAAGACUGGGAUAACUUCGGGAAACCGGAGCUAAUACCGGAUAAUAUUUUGAACCGCAUGGUUCAAAAGUGAAAGACGGUCUUGCUGUCACUUAUAGAUGGAUCCGCGCUGCAUUAGCUAGUUGGUAAGGUAACGGCUUACCAAGGCAACGAUGCAUAGCCGACCUGAGAGGGUGAUCGGCCACACUGGAACUGAGACACGGUCCAGACUCCUACGGGAGGCAGCAGUAGGGAAUCUUCCGCAAUGGGCGAAAGCCUGACGGAGCAACGCCGCGUGAGUGAUGAAGGUCUUCGGAUCGUAAAACUCUGUUAUUAGGGAAGAACAUAUGUGUAAGUAACUGUGCACAUCUUGACGGUACCUAAUCAGAAAGCCACGGCUAACUACGUG
rnacentral:rRNA from 1 species